GUCGAGUGCGCAGUAGCAAUACUGGCGCUUUGCGCUUUGGUGAGUAAUUGAGAUUGGGCAACCUGCCAUCUAGAGGGGGAUAACCCGCCGAAAGGCGGGCUAAUACCGCAUGACAUUCCGAUGGCUUUUUUCCGGUUUGAUUCAAAGUCCGCAAGGUUUCUAGAGGAGGGGCCCGCGCCCGAUUAGCUUGUUGGCGAGGUAUUUGCUCACCAAGGCAAUGAUCGGUAGCUGGUCUGAGAGGAUGGCCAGCCACACUGGAACUGAGAUUGAGAUGUCCAGACUCUCUUUUGGAGGCAGCAGUGGGGAAUCUUGCGCAAUGGGCGAAAGCCUGUUUCAGCGUUUCCGCGUGGGGGAUGAAGCUUCUCGGAGUGUAAACCCCUUUCGACCCGGUUUAAUGUCCCGCAAGGGAUUGUUUGUUUUGGUAUAAGAAGCCCCGGCUAAUUGAGAUUUGCCAGCAGCCGCGGUAAGUUUUAGGGGGCCAGCGUUGCUCGGAAAUUACUGGGGUAAAGGGUUCGUAGGCGGUGUGGCAAGUCGGGAGUGAAAUCUCUGGGCUUAACUCAGAGGCUGCUUCCGAAACUGCCGCGCUAGAGUACGGGAUAGGCGAGUGGAAUUGCAGGUGUAGCGGUGAAAUGCGUAGAUAUCUGCAGGAACACCCGUGGCGAAGGCGGCUCGCUGGACCGUAACUGUUUCUGAGGAUUUAAAGCUCGGGGAGCAAACAGGAUUAGAUACCCUGGUAGUCCUAGCCCUAAA
rnacentral:rRNA from 1 species